rnacentral:rRNA from 1 species
UAAUUUUUUUUGAGAGUUCUUAUCGAAAGAAAAGAUUGCGACCUCGAUGUUGGAUUAAAUUAAAUUUUUGGUGUAGAAGCUAAAUUGAUUAGGUCUGUUCGACCUUUAAAAUUUUACAUGAUCUGAGUUCAAACCGGUGUAAGCCAGGUUGGUUUCUAUCUUUAUUUAAAUAAAAUAUUUUAGUACGAAAGGAUCAAGUAUUUAGUUUAUAAUUUUAAUAUAGAAUAUUUUUA